rnacentral:rRNA from 1 species
AAACGGGUGCGGAACACGUACACAACCUUCCUUUAAGUGGGGGAUAGCCCAGAGAAAUUUGGAUUAAUACCCCGUAACACAGUGGAGUGGCAUCACUCUAUUGUUAUAGAUACGUCGCUUAAUGAUGGGUGUGCGUUUGAUUAGAUAGUUGGCGAGGUAACGGCUCACCAAGUCUGCGAUCAAUAGCUGAUGUGAGAGCAUGAUCAGCCACACGGGCACUGAGACACAGGCCCGACUCCUACGGGAGGCAGCAGUAAGGAAUAUUGGUCAAUGGACGCAAGUCUGAACCAGCCAUGCCGCGUGAAGGAUUAAGGUCCUCUGGAUUGUAAACUUCUUUUAUUUGGGACGAAAAAGGGCCUUUCUAGGUCAACUGACGGUACCAGAUGAAUAAGCACCGGCUAGCUCCGUGCCGGCAGCCGCGGUAAUACGGAGGGUGCAAGCGUUAUCCGGAUUCACUGGGUUUAAAGGGUGCGUAGGCGGGUAGGUAAGUCAGUGGUGAAAUCCUGGAGCUCAACUUCAGAACUGCCAUUGAUACUAUUUAUCUUGAAUAUUGUGGAGGUAAGCGGAAUAUGUCAUGUAGCGGNUGAAAUGCUUAGAUAUGACAUAGAACACCUAUUGCGAAAGCAGCUUACUACGCAUAUAUUGACGCUGAGGCACGAAAGCGUGGGGAAUCAAACAGGAUUAGAUACCCUGGUAGUCCACGCCCUAAGGUUAGGAUCACUUGGACAUUAUGUGAUCCCCAAACAAAGGGCCUGAAGCGACAAGCAUUAAAGUAAUCCCCCCUGGGAAGGACCUUCCGCAAAGGAUGAAAACUCAAAGGAAUUGGGCGGGAGUUCCGCACAAGCCGGUGGAGCAUGUGGUUUCAAUUCCGAUGAUACGCGAGGAACUUUACCUGGGCUAGAAUGACUGAAGAGAACCGUGGGAGAAAGCCCCAUUUUUGUAGCAAUUAACCCUGUUCAGUAAAGGUGCUGCAUGGGCUGUAGUCAGCUCGUGCCGUGAGGUGUUGGGUUAAGUCCCGCAACGAGCGCAACCCCUAUCAUUAGUAGCCAACAGGUCAAGCUGGGAACUCUAAUGAAACUGCCGCCGUAAGGCGCGAGGAAGGAAGGGGAUGAUGUCAAGUCAUCAUGGCCUUUAUGCCCAGGGCUAUCACACGAGCUACAAUGGUUAGAACAAAGAGUUGCCAAUUCGUAAGAAUGANCUAAUCUCGUAAAUCUAUCNUAAGUUCAGAUNGUAGGCUGCAACUCGCGUACAUGAAGUNGGAAUNGCUAGUAAUCGCUGGUCAGCUACAAAGCGGUGAAUCCGUUCCCGGGCCUUGUACACACCGCCCGUCACACCAUGGGAGCUGGUCAUACCCAAACCCGUUAGCCUGACCUUUGGGAAGCGGCGUCUAAGGUAGGGCUAGUGACUGGGGUGAGGUCGUAACAAGGUAGCCG